rnacentral:lncRNA from 1 species
CGUCCUUGAGAGCUACACGGGGAGCGCGAGCGAGCGAGCCAGAGACUGGGGGAGAGGGACGCGCGCGCGCACACACAGACACACACACAGACACACACACACACACAGUGGAAAAGGCGAGCCACCAAACCCAUCUCCAGUCUCCUCCCGGGGGGCCCCCCAGCCCGCCACUGUGCCACUUUGCAUCCCGCGCCCGAGGAGACGCAGAGGAAAGCCGGUAAGAGGUGGCCUGAACACUGUUCAUUCUGCGCUUUCAGUUUGUGCUCAGAGGUAAAGGAUGAGACACAAUUUACCAGCCUAAUCCACAGCUUGGUAUGUAGUUUUUAUGUCUUUCUCCAUUCAGUCGUUAAUAUAUCUGUGGAGGGGAUGAUUUGGGAU